rnacentral:SRP_RNA from 1 species
AAUCCGCUCGGCGGGGUUCGAAUCUCUGGCGAGAGCUCCGCUUUCGCCGGAUGCAAUUCGUUGCGCGCCCCGGGGUCUCCCGACCAUGACGAAUGAGAACCUGGCCAGAUCUGGCAGGAUCAUCGCGAGUGCAAUGGCAAUAAUACUCUCCUGUGCCAUGGGUUC